rnacentral:rRNA from 1 species
CCUACGGGAGGCAGCAGUGGGGAAUAUUGCACAAUGGGGGAAACCCUGAUGCAGCGACGCCGCGUGAGUGAAGAAGUAUUUCGGUAUGUAAAGCUCUAUCAGCAGGGAAGAAAAUGACGGUACCUGAUUAAGAAGCCCCGGCUAACUACGUGCCAGCAGCCGCGGUAAGACGUAGGGGGCAAGCGUUAUCCGGAUUUACUGGGUGUAAAGGGAGCGUAGACGGCAGGACAAGUCGGGAGUGAAAGGCCGGGGCUUAACCCCGGAACUGCUUUGGAAACUGUGAAGCUGGAGUGCAGGAGAGGUAAGUGGAAUUCCUGGUGUAGCGGUGAAAUGCGUAGAUAUUAGGAGGAACACCAGGGGCGAAGGCGGCUUACUGGACUGUAACUGACGUUGAGGCUCGAAAGCGUGGGGAGCAAACAGGAGUAGAUACCCGGGUAGUC